rnacentral:rRNA from 1 species
CUCCUUUUACGUUAGCGGCGGACGGGUGAGUAACACGUGGGUAACCUACCUAUAAGACUGGGAUAACUUCGGGAAACCGGAGCUAAUACCGGAUAACAUUUGGAACCGCAUGGUUCUAAAGUGAAAGAUGGUUUUGCUAUCACUUAUAGAUGGACCCGCGCCGUAUUAGCUAGUUGGUAAGGUAACGGCUUACCAAGGCGACGAUACGUAGCCGACCCGAGAGGGUGAUCGGCCACACUGGAACUGAGACACGGUCCAG